AUCAGGGCCAUAGCUCAGGAGGGGAGCAUCUGCUUUGCAUGCAGAAGUUCCCAGGUUCAAUCCCUGGUCUCUCUAGAUA